rnacentral:rRNA from 1 species
AUGGGCAACUCCUGUGUCACUGGCUCCAGCAGCACCUCAAACCACGGGCAGAGUCUGAAAUCCAACGGGGAAAAAGCUAGUGACAAUUCGUGUGUUACUGGUUCAUGCCUGUCAAACCAGGGCCAGAGCCAGGAAUCCAAUGGGUCGGAGACAACCUUCAAAUGGAGGAUUGAUGGUUUCUCCUCGCUUCUUGAUAAGGGAUGGACCAGCUCCAGUGUGUUUAACAUCAGGGGGUUUGACUGGUACAUGGUGCUGAACCUAAGGGACAGAAAGAGUGGUGACAAAAAUGAAUAUGUUUCUCUUGAGCUUGUGCUGUUUCUAGCACCUGAGAUACUCCAUACGGUCGUGGAGGCAAGUUUCAAGUUCCUGAUAUAUGACCAGUCAUAUGGAAAGCACCUUGAACAGCAUCAAGUGAGCCAAAAUUUUCAGGCUCCAAGCAGAGUCUCUGGGACCUCAUUCAUGAUCCCCCUCGCAACGCUUAAGGAGCAAUCCUCUGGAUUCCUUGUCGAAGACAGCUGUGUUUUUGGUAUCCAGUUCAUCAAAGUUGUCCCUGUUAAAGGCAGCUCAAAACAUAGGCAGAAUCUGAAAGCCAACGUGGCAAGAGCCAUUGGCAACUCAUGUGUUACUGGUUCAAGCCAGUCAAGCCAGGGACAUUGCCAGGAAUCCAACGGGUCAGAGACAACCUUUAAAUGGAGGAUCGAUGGUUUCUCCUCGCUUCUUGAUAAGGGUGAAGGAUGGACCAACUCCAGUGUGUUUAACAUCAGGGGGUUUAACUGGUACCUGAUGCUGAACCCAAGGGACAGAAAGAGUGGCGACAAAAAUGAAUAUGUUUCUCUUAAGCUUGUGCUGACUCAAACAGUAUCCGAGAGAUCCCAUUUGAUUGCGAAGGCAACUUUCAAGUUCCUGAUAUAUGACCAGUCAUAUGGAAAGCACCAUGAAGAGCAUCAAGUGAGCCACAAUUUUCAGGCUGCAAGCAGAGUCUCUGGGAUCUCAUGCAUGAUCCCCCUCGCGAAGCUUAAGGAGCAAUCCUCUGGAUUCCUCGUCAAAGACAGCUGUGUUUUCGGUAUCCAGUUCAUCAAAGUUGUCGCUGUUAAAGGUAACGAUGUGUCAGAGACCCUGUUUGUUCAGAAGAUUAGCAACAUCUGCAGUGACCCCCAAGUCUACACCUGGAACAUUGAUGAUUUCUUUGUGUUGAAAAACCCGAGCACCUCCCCAGAGUUUGAGCUCUGUGGACACAAAUGGUUAAUCACUAUCUAUCCAUCUGGUUCCGAUAAGAAUCCGAACUACCUCUCCCUGUACCUGAACAUGAAGGACUCACUCCAUAAAGACUCUGCGAUCCUGGCAGAUGUUAGCAUAACCAUCAAAGACCAGGAAACUGGCAAGCACAAGAAAUUAUCAGCCCGGCUCCAGCUCAAGAAUUGUGCCCCCACUUGGGGAUGGGGCAAGUUCAUAUCUCUGGAAGAUUUCAAGGACUCGUCACAAGGUUAUCUCGUGAAGACAAAGUGUUGCAUUGAAGCUCAGAUUGCAGUCAUUGGUUCCUCGAAGACAGAGUAG